AUUGAACGCUGGCGGCAUGCCUUACACAUGCAAGUCGAACGGCAGCACGGGAGCAAUCCUGGUGGCGAGUGGCGAACGGGUGAGUAAAGUAUCGGAACGUGCCCAGUCGUGGGGGAUAACGUAGCGAAAGUUACGCUAAUACCGCAUACGAUCUAUGGAUGAAAGCGGGGGAUCGCAAGACCUCGCGCGAUUGGAGCGGCCGAUAUCAGAUUAGGUAGUUGGUGGGGUAAAGGCUCACCAAGCCGACGAUCUGUAGCUGGUCUGAGAGGACGACCAGCCACACGGGGAAUGAGACACGGCCCAGACUCCUACGGGAGGCAGCAGUGGGGAAUUUUGGACAUUGGGCGAAAGCCUGAUCCAGCCAUGCCGCGUGCAGGAUGAAGGCCUGCGGGUUGUAAACUGCUUUUGUACGGAACGAAAAGGUUUGGCCUAAUAAGCUGAGCUCAUGACGGUACCGUAAGAAUAAGCACCGGCUAACUACGUGCCAGCAGCCGCAGUAA
rnacentral:rRNA from 1 species